ACUUGAUGAUGAGACUCAUUAUUUCAUGGACCUGACUUCAGUUUUAAUUCUUGCGAAGGGAAUCUGAGGUC